CCCGUCGUCUGGGGUGCCAGCAGGAAGAACAGAAAGGCCCCAGAACAGCACAGACAUCCCACGGCGGCCCCAGGAACCGCCAGGCGGACCAGGAUGAGGUGUCGCCGGCCCCUGCGGACCGAGGUGGGCCUGGCCGUAGCCCUGA